rnacentral:rRNA from 1 species
CACGUAGGGCGCAAGCGUUGUCCGGAAUUAUUGGGCGUAAAGAGCUCGUAGGCGGUCUGUCGCGUCUGCUGUGAAAACUCAGGGCUUAACCCUGAGCUUGCAGUGGGUACGGGCAGACUAGAGUGCGGUAGGGGAGACUGGAAUUCCUGGUGUAGCGGUGAAAUGCGCAGAUAUCAGGAGGAACACCGGUGGCGAAGGCGGGUCUCUGGGCCGUAACUGACGCUGGAGGAGCGGAAAGCAUCGGGGAGCGAACAGG